GGAUGUGAAUCGUUAUCAAAGAAACAAAAUUGUACAACGCCAUCAAAUUUCAAAUACCACUGUGUAAUGAAUGUCUUUGAAAAUGAAACAAUAGAGGUUUGCGCGCCAGCUCUGUAUAUAAUGGGAUAUUGUGCUGAGUUUAAUAUCCAAGGGGGACGGAUUCAACCUCAUUAUCAGAUAAAAUGCACAGAAAUGGAUCCUCCGUGUCCAAAACGGUAUAUUUCAACAGAGGCAUUUAAAUAUACCUCCUGCUUUAAAAAAGUAAAAGAUACAUCCGAAUCAUCGUCAAAAGAAAAAGG